rnacentral:rRNA from 1 species
AGAGUUUGAUCCUGGCUCAGAACGAACGCUGGCGGCGUGCCUAACACAUGCAAGUCGUACGAGAAAUCCUGGGCAACUGGGAAAGUAAAGUGGCGCACGGGUGAGUAACGCGUGGGUAACCUACCCUUGGAUUUGGGAUAACUCCGCGAAAGCGGGGUUAAUACCGGAUGAUAUUCCGAUUUCUACGGGGAUUGGAAUCAAAGGUGGCCUCUGCAUGCAAGCUACUGUCUAAGGAUGGGCCCGCGUACCAUUAGCUAGUUGGUAGGGUAAUGGCCUACCAAGGCAACGAUGGUUAGCUGGUCUUAGAGGAUGGCCAGCCACACUGGAACUGAGACACGGUCCAGACUCCUACGGGAGGCAGCAGUGGGGAAUCUUGCGCAAUGGGGGAAACCUUGACGCAGCAACGCCGCGCGGGUGAUGAAGGCCUUCGGGUCGUAAAGCCCUGUCAGGUGGGAAGAAACAUAUUGGUGCUAAUAUCACCGAUGUUUGACGGUACCGCCGGAGGAAGCACCGGCUAACUCCGUGCCAGCAGCCGCGGUAAUACGGAGGGUGCAAGCGUUGUUCGGAAUUACUGGGCGUAAAGCGCGUGUAGGCGGUUGGGCAAGUCAGAUGUGAAAGCCUUCCGCUUAACGGAAGAAGUGCAUUUGAAACUACCCGGCUGGAGUACGGGAGAGGAGAGUGGAAUUCCCGGUGUAGAGGUGAAAUUCGUAGAUAUCGGGAGGAACACCAGUGGCGAAGGCGGCUCUCUGGUCCGAUACUGACGCUGAGACGCGAAAGCGUGGGGAGCAAACAGGAUUAGA